rnacentral:rRNA from 1 species
UACGUAGGGUGCGAGCGUUGUCCGGAAUUACUGGGCGUAAAGCGUGCGUAGGCGGUGAGUUAAGUCUGUCGUGAAAUCCCCGGGCUCAACCUGGGAAUGGCGAUGGAUACUGGCUCGCUAGAGUGUGAUAGAGGAUGGUGGAAUUCCCGGUGUAGCGGUGAAAUGCGUAGAGAUCGGGAGGAACAUCAGUGGCGAAGGCGGCCAUCUGGAUCAACACUGACGCUGAGGCACGAAAGCGUGGGGAGCAAACAGG